rnacentral:rRNA from 1 species
UGUAAGCGUAUACCAAAGUUGUUGCAGUUAAAACGCUCGUAGUCGGAAUUUGGCAGUUCCGGAUGUGUGCACGUCGUGUGCGCACUUCGCGGGGAUUGCUUUUGUGGUCUUGCGUAGGAUGAGGCACUUUUAUUAGUGAACGUCCUCACGCAACCACUUUUUACUGUGAGAAAAUCAGAGUGCUCAAAGCAGGCAUUUGCCGUGAAUGUAUUAGCAUGGAAUAAUAGAAUAGGACUUGGUUCUAUUUUGUUGGUUUGUUGGGACUGAUUAAUGAUUAAGAGGGACAGUUGGGGGCAUUUGUAUUUCGGUGCUAGAGGUGAAAUUCUUAGAUUACCGAAAGACAAACUGCUGCGAAAGCGUCUGCCAAGGAUGUUUUCAUUGA